rnacentral:rRNA from 1 species
GACGAACGCUGGCGGCGUGCUUAACACAUGCAAGUCGAACGGCAAGGCCCUGCUUUUGUGGGGUGCUCGAGUGGCGAACGGGUGAGUAACACGUGAGUAACCUGCCCUUGACUUUGGGAUAACUUCAGGAAACUGGGGCUAAUACCGGAUAGGAGCUCCUGCUGCAUUGUGGGGGUUGGAAAGUUUCGGCGGGUGGGGAUGGACUCGCGGCUUAUGAGCUUGUUGGUGGGGGAGUGGCUUACCCAGGCUUUGGCGGGUAGCCGGCCUGAGAGGGGGACCGGCCACAUUGGGACUGAGAUACGGCCCAGACUCCUACGGGAGGCAGCAGUGGGGAAUAUUGCACAAUGGGCGGAAGCCUGAUGCAGCAACGCCGCGUGCGGGAUGACGGCCUUCGGGUUGUAAACCGCUUUCGCCUGUGACGAAGCGUGAGUGACGGUAAUGGGUAAAGAAGCACCGGCUAACUACGUG